GGUUCAUUCAAAUUUCUGCCCUAUCAACUUUCGAUGGUAGGAUAGUGGCCUACCAUGGCUUCAACGGGUAACGGGGAAUUAGGGUUCUAUUCCGGAGAAGGAGCCUGAGAAACGGCUACUACAUCCAAGGAAGGCAGCAGGCGCGCAAAUUACCCAAUCCCGACCGGGGAGGUAGUGACAAUAAAUACUGAUACAGGGCUCUUUUGAGUCUUGUAAUUGGAAUGAGUACAAUUUAAAUCCCUUAACGAGGAACAAUUGGAGGGCAAGUCUGGUGCCAGCAGCCGCGGUAAUUCCAGCUCCAAUAGCGUAUAUUAAAGUUGUUGCAGUUAAAAAGCUCGUAGUUG
rnacentral:rRNA from 1 species